AUUACACUUGAGGGCAAAGAGGUUAGGAAGCCGGCAUGGCGCUCCGGUCAAUAAAAUCGAUAGCUGGAAGCUGCCUGUGUUCCAGGCAAAGGCGGUGCGGUAGCAGCGCCGCCAUUUUCCCCGAAGGCAUCUUCCGGUGCCUUUCACCCAAGUUCGGGCAGGAGUUUCCUGAAUAACAGCAAAAGGGUGCGCAGGUCCCAAACCAGCCCUCAUCUCCUGGUUGGAACGAAACACCGAUGACUGGGAACCGGCUGCUCUAGAUCCGCAGGAGUACCCGAGAGGGCUAACAGUCCGGAGAAAAAGCAGAACCAGAAAGAAGAAUGGGGAGAAGGAAGUAUUUCCGCCUAAGGAGGCACCCCGAAAGGGGAAGCGAGGCCGGAGGCCCAGCAAACCCCGACUGAUUCCCAGGCAGACGUCUGGGGGCCCCAUCUGCCCUGACUGCGGCUGUACCUUCCCUGAUCAUCAGGCCCUGGAGAGCCACAAGUGCGCCCAAAAUCUAAAAAAGCCUUACCCUUGCCCAGACUGUGGGCGCCGCUUUUCCUAUCCAUCCCUGCUGGUCAGUCACCGGCGGGCACACUCCGGCGAGUGCCCCUAUGUUUGUGACCAGUGUGGCAAACGUUUCUCCCAGCGUAAGAACCUCUCCCAGCACCAGGUUAUCCAUACAGGUGAGAAGCCCUACCACUGCCCUGACUGUGGUCGCUGCUUCCGGAGGAGCCGGUCCUUGGCCAAUCACCGGACCACACACACAGGCGAAAAACCCCACCAGUGCCCUAGCUGCGGACGUCGCUUCGCCUACCCCUCCCUGCUAGCCAUCCACCAGCGUACACACACGGGAGAGAAGCCCUACACCUGCCUCGAGUGCAACCGCCGCUUCCGCCAGCGCACGGCCCUCGUCAUCCACCAGCGCAUCCACACGGGCGAGAAGCCCUACCCGUGCCCGGACUGCGAGCGGCGCUUCUCCUCCUCCUCUCGCCUGGUCAGUCACCGGCGUGUGCACUCCGGGGAGCGUCCCUAUGCCUGCGAGCACUGUGAGGCCCGCUUCUCCCAGCGCAGCACGCUGCUCCAGCACCAGCUCUUGCACACCGGAGAGAAGCCCUACCCCUGCCCAGACUGUGGGCGUGCCUUCCGGCGGAGUGGCUCCCUGGCCAUCCAUCGCAGCACGCACACAGAGGAGAAGCUGCACGCCUGCGAAGACUGUGGUCGCCGC
rnacentral:sRNA from 1 species